CGAAAUCACACUAAACAACGAAUUGCGGAACCGUCGUUAAAUGGAGUGGUAAAAAAAAACUUUGAGUCACGAACCAGAUAUUAUUUUACGUUUAUUGAGUGAUACGGAAAGGUGUCCAUUUUUACAAUCACUCUCGGACUUGAGGCAAUCUUUCGGAAGUAAUUUGGGGGUAGUCUGGACGGUAUAAAUACCGAAUCUCCGGCCAACGUACGACACUGACUCACUUCUUCCGAAGUACCUCAACACUCUCAACAUGAAGGUUGUCGCAUCCCUCGUCUUUGCCGUCUUGGUGAUCGCCCAACUCUACACCAUGAUCGAGGCUAAGCCCGAUCCCAGUAACAUCGUCUAUCUUGCGCCUGGUGGCAAGUGAAUGCGUAAGCCUGUAACUUCGAACGGUAAUUGGUCUUGAACGUGGACUAUAAUUAAAAAUGUCAAUCUACUUGAGUCCAGUUGUCUCGAAAUAAGUGACGUUCACAUCCAGCCGCGAAGACCAACUGCGUAUAAAAUAAUCAUGUAACUCUUGGAAUCAAUAAAAUACUUUUUGCUCUC
rnacentral:misc_RNA from 1 species